rnacentral:tRNA from 1 species
GUCGUCGUGGCCGGAUUGGUUAAGGCGAAGACUUGAAAUCUGUUGGGCUCUGCCCGCACUAGUUCGAAUCUUGUCGGCGACG